rnacentral:rRNA from 1 species
GUGGGGAAUCUUGCGCAAUGGGCGAAAGCCUGACGCAGCCAUGCCGCGUGGAUGAUGAAGGUCUUAGGAUUGUAAAAUCCUUUCACCGGUGAAGAUAAUGACUGUAGCCGGAGAAGAAGCCCCGGCUAACUUCGUGCCAGCAGCCGCGGUAAUACGAAGGGGGCUAGCGUUGCUCGGAAUUACUGGGCGUAAAGGGAGCGUAGGCGGACAUUUAAGUCAGGGGUGAAAUCCCGAGGCUCAACCUCGGAACUGCCUUUGAUACUGGGUGUCUUGAGUAUGAGAGAGGUGUGUGGAACUCCGAGUGUAGAGGUGAAAUUCGUAGAUAUUCGGAAGAACACCAGUGGCGAAGGCGACACACUGGCUCAUUACUGACGCUGAGGCGCGAAAGCGUGGGGAGCAAACAGGAUUAGAAACCCCAGUAGUCC